rnacentral:rRNA from 1 species
UAACAUGAGGUGCUUGCACUUUGAUGACGAGUGGCGCACGGGUGCGUAACGCGUAUAGAACCUACCCUGUACAGGGGGAUAGCCCAGAGAAAUUUGGAUUAAUACCCCGUGGUAACUAUAAAUGGCAUCAUUUAUAGUUUAAAGUUUUCGGACGGUACAGGAUGGCUAUGCGUCCUAUUAGUUAGAUGGUGAGGUAACGGCUCACCAUGGCAUCGAUAGGUAGGGGCCCUGAGAGGGGGAUCCCCCACACUGGUACUGAGACACGGACCAGACUCCUACGGGAGGCAGCAGUGAGGAAUAUUGGACAAUGGGCGUAAGCCUGAUCCAGCCAUGCCGCGUGCAGGAAGACGGCCCUAUGGGUUGUAAACUGCUUUUAUACGGGAAGAAUAAGGGACACGUGUGUCCUGGUGACGGUACCGUAAGAAUAAGGACCGGCUAACUCCGUGCCAGCAGCCGCGGUAAUACGGAGGGUCCGAGCGUUAUCCGGAAUUAUUGGGUUUAAAGGGUCCGCAGGCGGGCAAUUAAGUCAGGGGUGAAAUGGUGCGGCUCAACCGUAGCACUGCCCUUGAUACUGGUUGUCUUGAGUCAUAGUGAAGUGGCCGGAAUAUGUAGUGUAGCGGUGAAAUGCAUAGAUAUUACAUAGAACACCGAUUGCGAAGGCAGGUCACUAACUAUCGACUGACGCUGAUGGACGAAAGCGUGGGGAGCGAACGGGAUUAGAUACCCCGGUAGUCCACGCCGUAAACGAUGGAUACUAGCUGUCCGCUGCCUUGAGCAGUGGGGCGGCCCAGCGAAAGUGAUAAGUAUCCCACCUGGGGAGUACGUUCGCAAGAUGAAACUCAAAGGAAUUGACGGGGGCCCGCACAAGCGGUGGAGCAUGUGGUUUAAUUCGAUGAUACGCGAGGAACCUUACCAGGGCUUAAAUGCAUAAUGACAGGUCUAGAGAUAGACUUUUCUUCGGACAUUUUGCAAGGUGCUGCAUGGUUGUCCUCAGCUCGUGCCG